rnacentral:rRNA from 1 species
CACGCCGUAAACGUUGGGCACUAGGUGUGGGUCUCAACCAACGAGAUCCGCGCCGUCGCUAACGCAUUAAGUGCCCCGCCUGGGGAGUACGGCCGCAAGGUUAAAACUCAAAGGAAUUGA